GUCACACUGAGAAUUUAUUAUGCAUCACAUUUAAGGUUGCAUUAAUUUCUUGGCGAGGGGUACAAUACCAUCACAAUUGCGAGAGACCAAAGUCUGUUUUAACUCUUUUUGUCUAUUAGAAACCAGUUGCUAAUGUCCAUUGACAAUGAUGCUAUGAUGUGCGCAUGUGUGUUUGAAAUUUGCUCUUUUUAUGUCUACUUAUGCACAUGGUUUACUUGCAGGUCUGCUUUGAGACUUUUGAAGAUAGACCGUGUUAAGAAAUAUGAGUACUGUCUGCCUUGUGAGUUUUAAGCAAUUUUCAACUGUUCACAUUGUUGCGUUUCACAUAGUCCUUUUUGUAGAUUAAAAUGUCGUGAGAAGGAAGAAUGGAAGGAAAAAAUCUAUAUAAAUUAUCAUUUGUGACAUUUAUGGGUCAGAAACAUAAACUCGAAUGAACCAAGUUUGAUUGUUAAGGCAAAGAAUGAUGCAAGGAUAUUUUUUAUCCCUUAGCAUUUAAUAACAUGUUUUUG
rnacentral:misc_RNA from 1 species